rnacentral:rRNA from 1 species
AGUGAACGCUGGCGGUAGGCCUAACACAUGCAAGUCGAACGGCAGCACCGUAAGAGCUUGCUCUUACGGGUGGCGAGUGUCGGACGGGUGAGGGAUACAUCGGAAUCUACUUUUUCGUGGGGGAUAACGUAGGGAAACUUACGCUAAUACCGCAUACGACCUACGGGUGAAAGCAGGGGAUCUUCGGACCUUGCGCGAUUGAAUGAGCCGAAGUCGGAUUAGCUAGUUGGCGGGGUAAAGGCCCACCAAGGCGACGAUCCGUAGCUGGUCUGAGAGGAUGAUCAGCCACACUGGAACUGAGACACGGUCCAGACUCCUACGGGAGGCAGCAGUGGGGAAUAUUGGACAAUGGGCGCAAGCCUGAUCCAGCCAUACCGCGUGGGUGAAGAAGGCCUUCGGGUUGUAAAGCCCUUUUGUUGGGAAAGAAAAGCAGCAGGUUAAUACCCCGCUGUUAUGACGGUACCCAAAGAAUAAGCACCGGCUAACUUCGUG